rnacentral:lncRNA from 1 species
ACCUUCGUCUACUGGUUAACCUUCUCGCAAAGGCCACCUCGACCUUCUCGAGGAAGGUUGCUUCCAGGGAUCCAGCUCGCAGGGUGCACGCAAUCUCGUCCUAGCUUGUUGCUGUUGGGUGACCAUCCGCCGGCCUGAAGACGCAAGAGGUAGCCUUUCUAGCUAAUGCUACUGCUAUUCUGCCAAUGCUAAUUUUUUUUCUCCUAAUGAAGUCGACGCCUUGAUUUUGAUGGAUAAGCAAGAGCAAACAGAGAUACAGAGCAUGUGUAGAACAUGGACUGCUCGCACGCGCCACCAUGGACUGCUCUGCUGCCAUCCCCGUCGUCCUGUGUCCACGGGGCUCCUUGACCCAUCGAGGGCGACAACUGCACACAACCCCCGGGUCCUCAAUUCCGACGGCCGUGCAGGCAGCCAUCUCGCCUAGAGGCCGACACCACGCUGGCUGCUUGCGAAUGGAUGGUGCGUGAGGAUAUUCAUUUGCUUCCGUGACUCGUAUGCUUCCGUGUCUACAUUCAUUUUGAGUUUUCUCCGUCUCUGGUUCAUGCGAACAUCAUAUAUUUGAUGCUAAAAUGUGUCUAAUGCAGACCACUAAAAAAGGCAAUUUACUCAGUUAUAAAAAGUAGUGUUUGUUCUAUGAUAGUUAACUAACCAAAAUAAGAGAUGCACAAUUCACUCUAAAAAAUGACCAUUCAUUUCACAGAUGAGCAUCUAUUCAUUACAAAAAAGAGAACUAAAAUUUUGCAACUAUGUUAAUCCACCUUUUUCAUCAGUUGCAAAAUAAUGGUAUUUGUGCAUGUUCCUAGUUGCUACGGCAAUGCUGGAUUUAAUCAUCCUAGGAGAGAACGAGCAAAAAGACAAUCAAAGUGUGCGAGAG